AUUGAACGCUGGCGGCAGGCCUAACACAUGCAAGUCGAACGAGUGGCUGACGGGUGCGUGGUGUCUGGGAAACUGCCCGAUGGAGGGGGAUAACUACUGGAAACGGUAGCUAAUACCGCAUACCAUCGGAUGUGCUCAGAUGGGAUGAGCUAGUAGGUGGGGUAACGGUUCACCUAGGCGACGAGCCCUAGCUGGUCUAAGAGGAUGACCAGCAACACUGGAACUGAGGCCCGGUCCAGACGCCUAGGGUGGGCCGCAGUGGGGAAUAUUGCACAAUGGGCGCAAGCCUGAUGCAGCCAGGCCGCGUGUAGGAAGAAGGCCUUGGGGUUGUAAAGUACUUUCAGCGAGGAGACGUUACUCGCAGUAGAAGCACCUACUACCUCCGUGCCAGCAGCCGCGGUAAUAC
rnacentral:rRNA from 1 species